AUUAAUAACAUAUUAGAUUUUUU
rnacentral:snRNA from 1 species